rnacentral:rRNA from 1 species
UAGGGAAUCUUCCACAAUGGACGCAAGUCUGAUGGAGCAACGCCGCGCGAGUGAAGAAGGGUUUCGGCUCGUAAAGCUCUGUUGUUAAAGAAGAACGUGGGUAAGAGUAACUGUUUACCCAGUGACGGUAUUUAACCAGAAAGCCACGGCUAACUACGUGCCAG